rnacentral:tRNA from 1 species
UUAAAAGUUAACUCAGUGGUAGAGAAUUUGCCUGGCAUACAUGAGGCCCUGAGUUCAAUCUCAGCACUGAAA